rfam:Streptomyces sp. IB2014 011-1 STIB_2, whole genome shotgun sequence.
CGCCCGGCCGGAUCCCGUGGGGGGAAUCCGCUCCGGGAUAUGGGAAGCGCCCUGACCGUCGAC